rnacentral:rRNA from 1 species
UUCCGGUUGAUCCCGCCGGACCUGACUGCUAUCGGAUUGAUACUAAGCCAUGCGAGUCAUUGUAGCAAUGCAAGGCAGACGGCUCAGUAACGCGUAGUCAUCCGAACCUAUGGACGGGAAUAACCUCGGGAAACUGAGAAUAAUGCCCGAUAGAGCACUAUACCUGGAAUGGUUUGUGUUCCAAAUGAUUUAUCGCCGUAGGAUGGGACUGCGGCCUAUCAGUUUGUUGGUGAGGUAAUGGCCCACCAAGACUAUUACAGGUACGGGCUCUGAGAGGAGUAGCCCGGAGAUGGGUACUGAGACACGGACCCAGGCCCUAUGGGGCGCAGCAGGCGAGAAAACUUUGCAAUGUGCGAAAGCACGACAAGGUUAAUCCGAGUGGUUUCUGCUAAAGGAACCUUUUGUUAGUCCUAGAAACACUAACGAAUAAGGGGUGGGCAAGUUCUGGUGUCAGCCGCCGCGGUAAAACCAGCACCUCAAGUGGUCAGGAUGAUUAUUGGGCCUAAAGCAUCCGUAGCCGGCUCUGUAAGUUUUCGGUUAAAUCUGUACGCUCAACGUACAGGCUGCCGGGAAUACUGCAGAGCUAGGGAGUGGGAGAGGUAGACGGUACUCGGGAGGAA